CUUACGAUCAUUAUCGCAUAUAUCAAACACACACAUAACAUAUUAAGUGAAGUGAGUCCUAUUAAGUUUACACAUUCAUCACUAAUUAAGUUAUGGAGAAGAAAUCACUAGCUGCCUUGUCCUUCCUCUUCCUUUUUCUCUUUGUUGCACAAGAAAUUGUGGUGACAGAGGCAAACACCUGUGAGCAUUUGGCAGAUACAUACAGGGGAGUAUGCUUCACGGAUGCUAGCUGUGAUGAUCACUGCAAGAACAAAGCGCACUUAAUCAGUGGCACUUGCCAUAACUUUAAAUGUUUCUGCACUCAAAACUGUUAAACUUGGAUGGAUGGAUUGAUUCUCCAACACAAAGACAAAGAC